UACGUAGGUGGCGAGCGUUGUCCGGAUUUAUUGGGCGUAAAGCGCGCGCAGGCGGUGCGGUAAGUCUGUCGUGAAAUCUCCCGGCUCAACUGGGAGGGUGCGGUGGAGACUGCCGGACUGGAGGCACUCAGAGGCCGGUGGAAUUCCCGGUGUAGUGGUGAAAUGCGUAGAGAUCGGGAGGAACACCAGUGGCGAAAGCGGCUCACUGGACCACAACUGACGCUGAGGCGCGAAAGCUAGGGGAGCAAACAGG
rnacentral:rRNA from 1 species